CACCCCGGUGCGAGUCCGAACGAUGAAGCUGGGGCUUGCUCUGGUGGAUUAGUGGCGAACGGGUGAGUAACACGUGAGCAACCUGCCCUGGACUCUGGGAUAAGCGCUGGAAACGGCGUCUAAUACUGGAUACGAGACGUGGCCGCAUGGUCAACGUUUGGAAAGAUUUUUCGGUCUGGGAUGGGCUCGCGGCCUAUCAGCUUGUUGGUGAGGUAAUGGCUCACCAAGGCGUCGACGGGUAGCCGGCCUGAGAGGGUGACCGGCCACACUGGGACUGAGACACGGCCCAGACUCCUACGGGAGGCAGCAGUGGGGAAUAUUGCACAAUGGGCGGAAGCCUGAUGCAGCAACGCCGCGUGAGGGAUGACGGCCUUCGGGUUGUAAACCUCUUUUAGCAGGGAAGAAGCGUGAGUGACGGUACCUGCAGAAAAAGCGCCGGCUAACUACGUGCCAGCAGCCGCGGUAAUACGUAGGGCGCAAGCGUUAUCCGGAAUUAUUGGGCGUAAAGAGCUCGUAGGCGGUUUGUCGCGUCUGCUGUGAAAUCCCGAGGCUCAACCUCGGGCCUGCAGUGGGUACGGGCAGACUAGAGUGCGGUAGGGGAGAUUGGAAUUCCUGGUGUAGCGGUGGAAUGCGCAGAUAUCAGGAGGAACACCGAUGGCGAAGGCAGAUCUCUGGGCCGUAACUGACGCUGAGGAGCGAAAGGGUGGGGAGCAAACAGGCUUAGAUACCCUGGUAGUCCACCCCGUAAACGUUGGGAACUAGUUGUGGGGUCCUUUCCACGGAUUCCGUGACGCAGCUAACGCAUUAAGUUCCCCGCCUGGGGAGUACGGCCGCAAGGCUAAAACUCAAAGGAAUUGACGGGGACCCGCACAAGCGGCGGAGCAUGCGGAUUAAUUCGAUGCAACGCGAAGAACCUUACCAAGGCUUGACAUACACGAGAACGGGCCAGAAUGGUCAACUCUUUGGACACUCGUGAACAGGUGGUGCAUGGUUGUCGUCA
rnacentral:rRNA from 1 species